CUGCCACCUGUAUUUCUAUCA
rnacentral:miRNA from 1 species